rnacentral:rRNA from 1 species
CAGAGGGAAGCAAUACCGCGAGGUGGAGCAAAUCCCUAAAAGCCAUCCCAGUUCGGAUCGCAGGCUGCAACCCGCCUGCGUGAAGUUGGAAUCGCUAGUAAUCGCGGAUCAGCAUGCCGCGGUGAAUACGUUCCCGGGCCUUGUACACACCGCCCGUCACACCAUGAGAGUCGGGAACACCCGAAGUCCGUAGCCUAACUGCAAAGGGGGCGCGGCCGAAGGUGGGUUCGAUAAUUGGGGUGAAGUCGUAACAAGGUAUC